rnacentral:lncRNA from 1 species
GAAAGACUAGAGUAGAAGACCAGCAGCCAGUUGUUAGGAGAAGGAAGGUCUCUGUGUCAUGUGGGAUGGAGCUGAAGGAAGAAAUGCAAAUGGAUAUGGUGGGUUUUGAAAUGAAACUCAGCAGUUUGGUGUGUUGUGAGCAGCAUCCUGAGUCCCUGGCUUGGAUCAAAAUCUCCUUGUGCUAAGCACAGUGAAAAUUCAAAGUAAGAAGCAGUUCCUGAACAACUCAACAGCAAAGAUAUUAAAAUGGUAGGGAAGAGGAGCUAAGUGUCUUUUGAGCACAUAUAGCAGAGCUGGAUUCGAGCCUACAUUGGGCUCCUCACACAGAAGCUGAGGCACUGUGAUGGUUUCUGCAAGAGUUUCUGAACAAAGUGAAUGGCAUGUGCAAGGCUCGAUCUGCAGCAGCCCUUGAAAGUCCCACCUGAUGCUCAAAAGCAGAAGGACGUACUUGGAAGAGCCCCAGCAUCUUCUUUUAGUUACAACUUGCUCCUGUUGGAAGCAAAGAGAGUUCAUCACUGAUUUCUCAGCCCAGCAAGUGCUGAGGA